GACGAACGCUGGCGGCGUGCUUAACACAUGCAAGUCGAACGGUGAAGCGCCUUCCUUUUUGGUGGGUGUGGAUGAGUGGCGAACGGGUGAGUAACACGUGAGUAACCUGCCCCCUUCUUCUGGAUAACCGCAUGAAAGUGUGGCUAAUACGGGAUAUUCUGGGUCUGUCGCAUGAUGGGUCUGGGAAAGAUAUUGUUUCGGUGGGGGAUGGGCUCGCGGCCUAUCAGCUUGUUGGUGGGGUGAUGGCCUACCAAGGCGGUGACGGGUAGCCGGCCUGAGAGGGGGGACGGUCACACUGGGACUGAGACACGGCCCAGACUCCUACGGGAGGCAGCAGUGGGGAAUAUUGCACAAUGGGCGCAAGCCUGAUGCAGCGACGCCGCGUGAGGGAUGGAGGCCUUCGGGUUGUGAACCUCUUUCGCCAGUGAAGCAGGCCUGCCUCGUUUGUGGGUGGGUUGACGGUAGCUGGAUAAGAAGCGCCGGCUAACUACGUG
rnacentral:rRNA from 1 species